AGGCAUAGAGCUGAAUUCGUAAGUUUCUUUGAAACUCUUGUAUCAUAUAGUAUGUAUCAUGAUAUAUAGCUUGCCACUAUACUUUUUGUUGUAGAUAGAAGAGCAUGGGAAGGAACCUGGUGAGGUGGAAUUCUAUAAGAUGACUCACACGCACCAUAAUGGCAACUUUGUCCGGAAAAAGUUGAGAGAUAUAGUUGUAUGUAUUCAUUAAUGAUUUGUGGAAUGAUUUUUUAUUAGUUUCAAUUUUU
rnacentral:lncRNA from 1 species